UGCAAAUACCUAUAAAUGUAUGCUUGCAAUUUACUUGCUGCUUGCAUGUAAUUCUUAUGCAAUUGUAUGCUAUAUGCUUGCAUGCAUGCAAUUAUGCAUGCAAACAUCAUGCAAACCUGCAUGAAUGCAUGC